rnacentral:rRNA from 1 species
CCUACGGGAGGCAGCAGUGGGGAAUUUUGGACAAUGGGCGCAAGCCUGAUCCAGCAAUGCCGCGUGAGUGAAGAAGGCCUUCGGGUUGUAAAGCUCUUUUGUCAGGGAAGAAACGGUGGAGGCUAAUAUCCUUUGCUAAUGACGGUACCUGAAGAAUAAGCACCGGCUAACUACGUGCCAGCAGCCGCGGUAAUACGUAGGGUGCAAGCGUUAAUCGGAAUUACUGGGCGUAAAGCGUGCGCAGGCGGUUUUGUAAGUUUGUCGUGAAAUCCCCGGGCUCAACCUGGGAAUGGCGAUGAAGACUGCAAGGCUAGAAUCUGGCAGAGGGGGGUAGAAUUCCACGUGUAGCAGUGAAAUGCGUAGAGAUGUGGAGGAACACCGAUGGCGAAGGCAGCCCCCUGGGUCAAGAUUGACGCUCAUGCACGAAAGCGUGGGGAGCAAACAGGAUUAGAUACCCUGGUAGUCCACGCCCUAAACGAUGUCUACUAGUUGUCGGGUUUUAAUUAACUUGGUAACGCAGCUAACGCGUGAAGUAGACCGCCUGGGGAUACGGUCGCAAGAUUAAAACNCAAAGGAAUUGACGG